GUCCCUGUAGUGUAAUGGAUAGCGCGUUGGACUUCAAAUCCAGUAGGUUCGAAUUCCACCUGGGAUG